CAGUGUUCCGCAGGUUGAGGUAGUAGGUUGUAUAGUUCAGAGUGACACCACAGGAGAUAACUGUACAGCCUCCUAGCUUUCCCUGAGGAAAC
rnacentral:pre_miRNA from 1 species